GAUGAACGCUAGCGGCAGGCCUAAUACAUGCAAGUCGAACGGUCCGCUUCGGCGGAUAGUGGCGCACGGGUGCGUAACACGUAUGCAACCUACCUUACAUUGGGGGAUAGCCUUUCGAAAGGGAGAUUAAUACCGCAUAAGACAGUAGCUGGGCAUCCAGUAGCUGUUAAAGAUUUAUCGAUGUAAGCUGGGCAUGCGUCCAAUUAGUUAGUUGGUGAGGUAACGGCUCACCAAGACGAUGAUUGGUAGGGGAACUGAGAGGUCAAUCCCCCACACUGGCACUGGGAUACGAGCCAGACUCCUACGGGAGGCAGCAGUAGGGAAUAUUGGGCAAGGGACGCAAGUCUGACCCAGCCAUGCCGCGUGCAGGAAGAAGGCGUUCUGCGUUGUAAACUGCUUUUAUAUAGGAAGAAACGACCCUUGCGAGGGGCAUUGACGGUAUUAUAUGAAUAAGCACCGGCUAACUCCGUGCCAGCCGCCGCAGUAAAAC
rnacentral:rRNA from 1 species